rnacentral:sRNA from 1 species
UAUACGAUGGUCCUCAUAAAAGGUUGAC